CUCCUGGGAAGUCCUCGUGUUGCACCCCUCUCUUUUUCUUCGCGUUUUUUUCGUUGGGGUUGUCGUUUGCGGCGGUCCAGCACGCUCGCUCUGCAUGCACCCCUUUGAUCUUCCCUGCAUUUAUUUUUUUUCUCGCUGGGCUUAUCGUGUACGUCGGUCCGGCACGCUCGCUUUGGAGGCUUAGCCCGCCCCAGGCCAAAAGCACGAGCCGCAGAUCGAUCUCGUUUCGGGUGCUAAAGCGUCGCGGGGACGUCGAAAUGCGCGGAAGCCCCUCGGGCUGCACCUCUCCGGCGGUAAGGUGCAUCGUUGCGUUCGGAUCCUUUUAUAAGAAUUAAACGCGCUUAUGCUGAUGGGUGCGAUCAUACCAACACUAAUGCACCGGA
rnacentral:rRNA from 1 species